GGGUUGUGAGGUUAAGCGACUAAGCGUACACGGUGGAUGCCCUGGCAGUCAGAGGCGAUGAAGGACGUGCUAAUCUGCGAUAAGCGUCGGUGAGGUGAUAUGAACCGUUAUAACCGGCGAUUUCCGAAUGGGGAAACCCAGUGUGUUUCGACACACUAUCAUUAACUGAAUCCAUAGGUUAAUGAGGCGAACCGGGGGAACUGAAACAUCUAAGUACCCCGAGGAAAAGAAAUCAACCGAGAUUCCCCCAGUAGCGGCGAGCGAACGGGGAGGAGCCCAGAGCCUGAAUCAGUGUGUGUGUUAGUGGAAGCGUCUGGAAAGGCGCGCGAUACAGGGUGACAGCCCCGUACACAAAAAUGCACAUAUUGUGAGCUCGAUGAGUAGGGCGGGACACGUGGUAUCCUGUCUGAAUAUGGGGGGACCAUCCUCCAAGGCUAAAUACUCCUGACUGACCGAUAGUGAACCAGUACCGUGAGGGAAAGGCGAAAAGAACCCCGGCGAGGGGAGUGAAAAAGAACCUGAAACCGUGUACGUACAAGCAGUGGGAGCCUCUUUAUGGGGUGACUGCGUACCUUUUGUAUAAUGGGUCAGCGACUUAUAUUCUGUAGCAAGGUUAACCGAAUAGGGGAGCCGAAGGGAAACCGAGUCUUAACUGGGCGUUAAGUUGCAGGGUAUAGACCCGAAACCCGGUGAUCUAGCCAUGGGCAGGUUGAAGGUUGGGUAACACUAACUGGAGGACCGAACCGACUAAUGUUGAAAAAUUAGCGGAUGACUUGUGGCUGGGGGUGAAAGGCCAAUCAAACCGGGAGAUAGCUGGUUCUCCCCGAAAGCUAUUUAGGUAGCGCCUCGUGAAUUCAUCUCCGGGGGUAGAGCACUGUUUCGGCAAGGGGGUCAUCCCGACUUACCAACCCGAUGCAAACUGCGAAUACCGGAGAAUGUUAUCACGGGAGACACACGGCGGGUGCUAACGUCCGUCGUGAAGAGGGAAACAACCCAGACCGCCAGCUAAGGUCCCAAAGUCAUGGUUAAGUGGGAAACGAUGUGGGAAGGCCCAGACAGCCAGGAUGUUGGCUUAGAAGCAGCCAUCAUUUAAAGAAAGCGUAAUAGCUCACUGGUCGAGUCGGCCUGCGCGGAAGAUGUAACGGGGCUAAACCAUGCACCGAAGCUGCGGCAGCGACACUAUGUGUUGUUGGGUAGGGGAGCGUUCUGUAAGCCUGUGAAGGUGGCCUGUGAGGGUUGCUGGAGGUAUCAGAAGUGCGAAUGCUGACAUAAGUAACGAUAAAGCGGGUGAAAAGCCCGCUCGCCGGAAGACCAAGGGUUCCUGUCCAACGUUAAUCGGGGCAGGGUGAGUCGACCCCUAAGGCGAGGCCGAAAGGCGUAGUCGAUGGGAAACAGGUUAAUAUUCCUGUACUUGGUGUUACUGCGAAGGGGGGACGGAGAAGGCUAUGUUGGCCGGGCGACGGUUGUCCCGGUUUAAGCGUGUAGGCUGGUUUUCCAGGCAAAUCCGGAAAACCAAGGCUGAGGCGUGAUGACGAGGCACUACGGUGCUGAAGCGACAAAUGCCCUGCUUCCAGGAAAAGCCUCUAAGCAUCAGGUAACAUCAAAUCGUACCCCAAACCGACACAGGUGGUCAGGUAGAGAAUACCAAGGCGCUUGAGAGAACUCGGGUGAAGGAACUAGGCAAAAUGGUGCCGUAACUUCGGGAGAAGGCACGCUGAUAUGUAGGUGAAGCGACUUGCUCGUGGAGCUGAAAUCAGUCGAAGAUACCAGCUGGCUGCAACUGUUUAUUAAAAACACAGCACUGUGCAAACACGAAAGUGGACGUAUACGGUGUGACGCCUGCCCGGUGCCGGAAGGUUAAUUGAUGGGGUUAGCGGUAACGCGAAGCUCUUGAUCGAAGCCCCGGUAAACGGCGGCCGUAACUAUAACGGUCCUAAGGUAGCGAAAUUCCUUGUCGGGUAAGUUCCGACCUGCACGAAUGGCGUAAUGAUGGCCAGGCUGUCUCCACCCGAGACUCAGUGAAAUUGAACUCGCUGUGAAGAUGCAGUGUACCCGCGGCAAGACGGAAAGACCCCGUGAACCUUUACUAUAGCUUGACACUGAACAUUGAGCCUUGAUGUGUAGGAUAGGUGGGAGGCUUUGAAGUGUGGACGCCAGUCUGCAUGGAGCCGACCUUGAAAUACCACCCUUUAAUGUUUGAUGUUCUAACGUUGGCCCGUAAUCCGGGUUGCGGACAGUGUCUGGUGGGUAGUUUGACUGGGGCGGUCUCCUCCUAAAGAGUAACGGAGGAGCACGAAGGUUGGCUAAUCCUGGUCGGACAUCAGGAGGUUAGUGCAAUGGCAUAAGCCAGCUUGACUGCGAGCGUGACGGCGCGAGCAGGUGCGAAAGCAGGUCAUAGUGAUCCGGUGGUUCUGAAUGGAAGGGCCAUCGCUCAACGGAUAAAAGGUACUCCGGGGAUAACAGGCUGAUACCGCCCAAGAGUUCAUAUCGACGGCGGUGUUUGGCACCUCGAUGUCGGCUCAUCACAUCCUGGGGCUGAAGUAGGUCCCAAGGGUAUGGCUGUUCGCCAUUUAAAGUGGUACGCGAGCUGGGUUUAGAACGUCGUGAGACAGUUCGGUCCCUAUCUGCCGUGGGCGCUGGAGAACUGAGGGGGGCUGCUCCUAGUACGAGAGGACCGGAGUGGACGCAUCACUGGUGUUCGGGUUGUCAUGCCAAUGGCACUGCCCGGUAGCUAAAUGCGGAAGAGAUAAGUGCUGAAAGCAUCUAAGCACGAAACUUGCCCCGAGAUGAGUUCUCCCUGAGACUUAGAGUCUCCUGAAGGAACGUUGAAGACGACGACGUUGAUAGGCCGGGUGUGUAAGCGCAGCGAUGCGUUGAGCUAACCGGUACUAAUGAACCGUGAGGCUUAACCUUACAACGCCGAAGCUGUU
rnacentral:rRNA from 2 species